rfam:Bacteroidetes bacterium GWF2_33_16 gwf2_scaffold_10, whole genome shotgun sequence.
AAAAAGUGGAGUCCAGAUACCACCUAGAAUAAACGGGGCCGUUCUGAAAAGCCAUACGAGUAGGAAAAAU